UACAGAGGUCCCAAGCGUUGUUCGGAUUCACUGGGCGUAAAGGGUGCGCAGGUGGGUUUGCAAGUUCGUUGUGAAAGCCCCGGGCUUAACCCGGGAAUGGCAUUGGAUACUGCAGAUCUGGAGGAUCGGAGGGGGGACUGGAAUUCUUGGUGUAGCAGUGAAAUGCGUAGAUAUCAAGAGGAACACCAGUGGCGAAGGCGAGUCCCUGGAGGAUACCUGACACUGAGGCACGAAAGCUAGGGGAGCAAACAGG
rnacentral:rRNA from 1 species